AUUAAGUGAAAAUAAAAGAGUGCACCGAAUGUCCACAGAAUUGGAGGGACUAAUUGCGUAAAAUGCCCAUUAAGACAAAAAUGUGCAGCUCUCCAAGCUUUCAAACGGCACAGUUUAAAAUCUUAUAUAAAUAGAAAAAAUAAAACCCUAAAAAGAGAAAUCAGCCCCCAUUUCUUUCUUCCCUUUUUUUUAAAAACUGAAGAUCCCAAAUCCCCUCAACCCCUUUUCUCGGCCGCUCCUAAUCGUCGCCAUGGCCGGUGGCCGGCGCCGCGCGACGGCAUCCCCGAUCCGCGCAUUUGAGGCAUAUUCAGAGCACCUGAACUUUGAAAAGGGAAGUUGAGGAGAAAACACGGUCUUUGGCCCCCUCUCGAGCCCGAAUCCGACGACGGCAAUGGACCAUCGCCGGCCGUUCAAGGGCCGAUUCAGGGAGUGGUUGGCCGGUGGCAGAGUUGGUGGCAUUGGUAGGCAUGGCAGAGGCUAGGGCGGCGGCUAGGGUUAUGGAGGCUAGGUUUUUGUUUUGUUUUUUUUUUCUGAUUUGGUUUAGGGUGUUUUGCGCUAGGGUUAGGUUAUUGGGCUUGUGGGUAUUGGGUUAGUGUUAGGUUUUGGGUCUGCUGGAAAUGGGUUGGGUAUUGGGUUCUUUUGGUUUUGUUAUUGUUUUAUUUGUUGGGCCCGGGCAAAAUUUGAAUCUUACAAAAUUAUCCAGACCUAAAUAAUAAUAAUAAUAAUAAUAAACCACAUCUUUGUUUUCACGAAA